rnacentral:rRNA from 1 species
AAUCAACGCUGGCGGCGUGCCUCAGACAUGCAAGUCGAACGAUUAAAGCUCUCUUCGGAGAGUGCAUAGAGUGGCGCACGGGUGAGUAACACGUAAGUAAUCUACCUUUGAGUGGGGAAUAACAUCGGGAAACCGAUGCUAAUACCGCAUAAUGCAGCGGCAUCGCAAGAUGACAGUUGUUAAAGAUUUAUCGCUUGAAGAGGAGCUUGCGGCAGAUUAGCUAGUUGGUAAGGUAAUGGCUUACCAAGGCUACGAUCUGUAACCGGUCUAAGAGGACGGUCGGUCACACUGACACUGAAUAACGGGUCAGACUCCUACGGGAGGCAGCAGUCGGGAAUUUUGGGUCAAUGGGCGAAAGCCUGACCCAGCAACGCCGCGUGAAGGAUGAAGUAUUUCGGUAUGUAAACUUCGAAAGAAU